AGGACAUCUGAGCACCAAUCUUUGGAGCCUGGAGGAUGCUGCUCAGACUCCAUGAAUCCUGAACCAACUCUUGAAUCUUGAUCUAGCUCUCUGAGCUGUUCUAUGAAGAUGAUUGUUCCAACGUUUUAGAUAAGAAAACUGCCAUGAAAAAAAUAGAACCCUCAAAUAAUGUGAAGACAGACAAACGUCCUUAAUUCACCGCUUACUUUGACAAAGAAGGGAAAGGAGGCCUGAGAGAAGAUGCCUGAAGACACUGUGCUCCAUUGCAAUGGAUUUGGCGUGAAGCCUCGUUUGAGAGGCAGUCGUGCUGCAGUGGAAUCCAGCUGGAUAUUCCCGGUCUUCCUCCUGAUCAUUACAAGGGCAGGAUUUAACUGAAAUAUGAUGGGAGGGGGAUUAUAGAUUUGGCUCUAGGAUUCUGUGAAAACACAUGGAAGUAGCACAUUAAUAUUAGUCAAAGACUGAAUGGGCCUUUAUAAGAAGUUGAGAUAAAUUUUGGCAAAAUCAGGUUGCCCUGAAUAACAUUCAAUUUACUGUGAGGGAGUUGGUCAAGAAAUUUGCGAUUUUUCUUCCUUUCGUUUAUUUAACUAAUUAGAUUCCGGAGUCUGCACCUCCUACGAAGUUGCACUCCUGAAAUGAGGAGUUUGAGUUUUCAGAGGAUGUGCCUGUGUUUUUCAUUAUAUUCUCCUGAUCAUUGGGUUUUGCGUUAAUCCGUGCUACGCGUUUCUCUUGUAUUUUUCUUCACUGCAUGAACUCUGGCAUUUCAUUUCAGGGAUGUAUAUCCAAGG